AAAGAAUCACAUCAGCACGGCGACACUACGCCUGCGAUACUACACUUGCUCUAUGCUAGCAGCGGAACAACUCGUAGCAGCGGAAUACUUCUAGCAGCGAAACAACGACGAAGGUGGUGAGCUCCACUCCGCAGGGACUCUGGCUGGGACACGAUCUAGCUCACAUGCACGACAACCUCGACAAGCAAUCAAGCAAUUAUGGCAUCACAUGCAAUCUGGCAUGACACGCCAGGUCAGUACAUUGAAUGUACUUGCAAGCUCACAACAACCAAAAGCAUCAAGGCAAGACAAUAACAUAGCAUUAGCAGAUUAAUUAAUUAACAGCUACCAUGAUGAAGCAACUACUAAUCAUGAUAUGAAACUACUAAGAUACUGAUAAAUCACCAUCUCAAUCUUAAUAACCAUGUCACUCUUGGCUAUCUUGCCAAGCAAUAUACCAUCUUGAUCACCUCGUGAUCCAAAACAUCCACGUGAUCACCUCGUGAUAACACCACAACUGAAUGAUCAUUCUCUAGAUCAUCCCAACAUCAUCAUUUGCAUCCUGCCAAACUGUUACUGCUCAUAAAACAUCAACAUAUAAAUCAUCUAAAAUUCAUUCCGUCAUGUGAGUGUUGAUCGAACGGUGUGACCUAGUACGAACUUAUGCCCAUGACCGAGGACGCAGCUAUCGAUAGAUUAAACACGCACACUCUGUAGAGGUAGCGCACUUUACCCACACCACAGAACCCAUGGCCUCGCACUCCCAUUCGGGUGGACCAAUGAUGUUCCGACAAAACCGAUCUACUGUCAUGACAUCUCCCGGCCACUCCGACCAACACCCCCUUUGGGUUCAGUCCUGGGUGGCCCCGUGCCUACCAAAGGCAUCAACGGCCACCAUCGUGGCAAAACACACACCGUCCCAAACGGGGACAAGAGAUCUCAAUACCAAUCAUGGGCACACAAGGUUUAUGUCCGCCUACCUGAUCAGGGUAGCGCGUGCCCAUAACCUUCUCUCAUGGGAGGCACCGGCGAGAGACAUGACAAUAGAUUGCAUUAGGGCCUCCCCAUAAAAGGUAAAUGUGGUUGCACUGGAAAAAGCCCGAUUCGGUGGCACCUGACAAACUUAAUGACGGAAUUUUAUCCCCAAAAAUAGACCUGAGGUACCUGAUACUCCGAUAUCAUCUAUCAACCUGUAAUCCAAGUCACAGCAAUAUCCAACACAUAAUCUAAGGCAUAACCUAGUCAUAUCAACCUACUCCGAGGAUAGAAAACAACUAUCAUGAUGAACCCAAGAACGAUAAUACUACUACUCCAAUAACAAGAUCAAAGUGUUAACCUCAUAUCCACAUGCAGUCACCAUAUCAAAAAUCAUACUCCAAAAUAAUAUCAGAUAUCAACAUGAAAAUGAUCACAAUAUGAGCCACUAAUAAUCCAAAGGCAAAUUACAUCCUCAUAAGCUUCAAAAUAUUAGUCCUAGAACUCCAAGCAAAGUCAUGGCAAAGGCAAGAUUAAAAUAACUCUGAGAAAAUGCCAUGAACAAAUCACAUGUAGCUAAAGCAAAUUUUAAACAAGUUCAAAUAAUUUAAACCAUGGCAUUGCAUUGCAAUCAUGCAAAUGGAGGGUGUGGCUUUCCUGGGGUGAAGGGAUUCAUCGGGAAGAAGUGCGAGAAACUCGCGGAACGAUUCGCCGGAAAUCUUUCUCUCUCGGAGGGGCUGAAGAGGGGCAAGGGCAUAAUGGUCAUCUUCAGAAUGUUACACACAUGGCGAAAAUGAUACCAACAGAACGGGCUCGACGAGACGAAGAAGUGGGCUUUGGAAUCACCUCAUUUGGAGUUGUGGUUGAAAAGUUAUAAGAGUUUUUCUGGCAGGGACCUAUCUGUAAGAAAAUCUUCACAAACAGACCCUCAGCCGGAAAAACAGAACGCGCCUUUAGCAGAAUACGCUUUCCAAAUGAGAAAACAUAAACCAGGACUAAACAGAGCUAAAGUACGCUUUCAAAAAGGGAAGAUGUAUUCCAAUCGAAUACGCUUCCACUUAUCCUAGCCAGCAGAGGCGGGGCCGGGCGCUGACUCGCUAUCAGGUGGGGGCCGCUGCUGACGUAUCUCUCUCCCGCUCCUCCUUCUUCUUCCCCGACGCUGCACGCAGGGCAGAGGAGGACCGCCGGCGCUGCUGCUUGCCUGGCCGGCUCCGGUCACCGCGCGGGACGCUGCGACCACCGCCGAGCUCGGGAGAGAGCGCCGCCUCCAUCCCGGAUAAACACGGACGUCGAGGAGCACCAAGACGGGCAGGGCUUCGGCCAUGGCGGACAACAGCUCGGGACGGUGAUGGAGUCGCAGCCAGAGGCCACCGGAGGAUGGGUCAAACGGUAGGGGAGGCUCGCCGGGGUUCGGGUGGAGCUAUGGUGAGGUCAGGAGGGAGGGGGAGGGCUCGGUUGUCACGAAUUUAGGAGGAGGCCCGAGGCGACCAUGGCGGCGAUGGCGGGGCAGAGGAGCUCCUCGAGCUCGAGGAGGAGGGUCGAGAGAUUGCUGGGAGGGGGAGGAGUGAGGUGGAGCGGUUGAUGAGCUUGGGAGGCCACAGGGAGGGCCAUUUAUAGGCGGGCGAGGGAGGCGGUGGCUGUGUGCCGCCGCUCGAGCUCGGCCAAUGCUCUGGCGCGCUCAGC
rnacentral:rRNA from 1 species